rnacentral:rRNA from 1 species
GGAACAGAGGGUCGCCAACCCGCGAGGGGGAGCCAAUCCCAGAAAACCGAUCGUAGUCCGGAUUGCACUCUGCAACUCGAGUGCAUGAAGCUGGAAUCGCUAGUAAUCGCGGAUCAGCAUGCCGCGGUGAAUACGUUCCCGGGUCUUGUACACACCGCCCGUCACACCAUGGGAGUGGGUUUUACCAGAAGUGGCUAGUCUAACCGCAAGGAGGACGGUCACCACGGUAGGAUUCAUGACUGGGGUGAAGUCGUAACAAGGUAGCCGUAUCGGAAGGUGCGGCUGGAUCACCUCCUUUCUCG